AUGGGCUUUAGGUUUUAUCCCUAAUUCUCUUUGGUUUUUAUCACGUUAUAUAUCUGUACAUUUAGAAUACCGAUAUUAGGUUUUGUUUUUCCUUGUUUUCUACACUUACAAAAACUGAAAAAAAAAAAAAAACAAGAACCGCAUUCUCAAACCCCCACCGGCACAAACAACCCCCUAGCACCGUUGCCGGCGGCACAAGCAGCAUCAUCACCAUCUCUAACCUAUACACACAAAAACAUACAUAUAUAUAAAUGAGGUAUAAGAAUCACUGUACCGAUGAGCAGCAUCAUAUAGUGCAGCGGACCUACUAGCCUAACGGAGAUCGUAACAAAAAUUGUAACCGUAAUGGCGAUGCCGAUUUGAGACCUAGGGUUUCGAUUUCAAGUUGCAGCGGACCAAGCGGUGGUGGCGGUAGGCCGUCGUCGGUGACGUCGUCGCCGUCGUGGUGGCGUGGUCGUCAGUCGUAUUCAUUCAUUUAGAGGAGUUUUAUUUUUUGGAACUUUUAGAAGAUGAAGUGCUCACAUAUGAAGAUGAUGAUACAGCUGUACCCUAUCUCAGUUUGAGAUCAUGUGCAUCUACUUGCGUUCCAAAUUGUGGGCCUCCAAAUUAUCAUUUAAUAUUUAAAUUCAUAACAAAACAAUAACUUAUACUCAAAAUCUAAAUUUAAUAAUAAUUAAAAUGGUCAUGUCUUUGGUGGCUUAAUGCGUAUGAGGCCCGAUACCAAAUAAUAUGCUUAAAAGUACCCGUUUAUUUAAACCCUCCAACACAUUUUUUAAGGGCCUUACUUGACCCCUCAAAACAUAUUUAUUAAAGAAAGAUGUCUUUAAAAAUUGUACAUUUAUAAUAUAUUAUGUUAGUAGUAUCUUCAUUUAUGGAGUAUAACGAUUUUGAAUUCCAAAUUUA
rnacentral:lncRNA from 1 species